AUCAACUUUCGAUGGUAGGAUAGAGGCCUACCAUGGUGGUAACGGGUAACGGGGUGUUAGGGCACGACACCGGAGAGGGAGCCUGAGAAACGGCUACCACAUCCAAGGAUGGCAGCAGGCGCGCAAAUUACCCAAUCCCGACACGGGGAGGUAGUGACAAUAAAUAACAAUACGGGGUUCUUUCGGAUCUCGUAAUUGGAAUGAGUACAAUUUAAAUCUCUUAACGAGGAACAAUUGGAGGGCAAGUCUGGUGCCAGCAGCCGCGGUAAUUCCAGCUCCAAUAGCGUAUAUUAAAGUUGUUGCAGUUAAAAAGCUCGUAGUUGAAUUUCGGGGUUAGUAGGUUGGUCAUGCCUCUGGUAUGUACUGGUCUCACUGAUUCCUCCUUCCUGAUGAACCGUAAUGCCAUUAAUUUGGUGUUGCGGGGAAUUUGGACUGUUACUUUGAAAAAAUUAGAGUGUUUAAAGCAAGCUAACGCUUGAAUACAUUAGCAUGGAAUAAUGAAAUAGGACGUUCGAUCCUAUUUUGUUGGUUUCUAGGAUUGACGUAAUGAUUAAUAGGGAUAGUUGGGGGCAUUAGUAUUCAAUUGUCAGAGGUGAAAUUCUUGGAUUUAUUGAAGACUAACUACUGCGAAAGCAUUUGCCAAGGAUGUUUUCAUUAAUCAAGAACGAAAGUUAGGGGAUCGAAGACGAUCAGGUACCGUCGUAGUCUUAACCAUAAACUAUGCCGACUAGGGAUCGGAUGAUGUUAAUUUUUUAAUGACUCAUUCGGCGCCUUACGGGAAACCAAAGUGUUUGGGUUC
rnacentral:rRNA from 1 species